AGUGAACGCUGGCGGUAGGCCUAACACAUGCAAGUCGAACGGCAGCACAGUAAGAGCUUGCUCUUACGGGUGGCGAGUGGCGGACGGGUGAGGAAUACAUCGGAAUCUACUUUUUCGUGGGGGAUAACGUAGGGAAACUUACGCUAAUACCGCAUACGACCUACGGGUGAAAGCAGGGGAUCUUCGGACCUUGCGCGAUUGACUGAGCCGAUGUGGGAUUAGCUAGUUGGCGGGGUAAAGGCCCACCAAGGCGACGAUCCGUAGCUGGUCUGAGAGGAUGGUCAGCCACACUGGAACUGAGACACGGUCCAGACUCCUACGGGAGGCAGCAGUGGGGAAUAUUGGACGAUGGGCGCAAGCCUGAUCCAGCCAUACCGCGUGGGUGAAGAAGGCCUUCGGGUUGUAAAGCCCUUUUGUUGGGAAAGAAAAGCAGCAGGUUAAUACCCCGCUGUUCUGACGGUACCCAAAGAAUAAGCACCGGCUAACUUCGUG
rnacentral:rRNA from 1 species